UUACAAGCUGGUUUAUAUAUGACUUAGUCAUUCUUUUUCGGAUCAGCAAAUGUGUCUGACAUUUGAUUAGCUAGCUUUGUAAAUGUAUAAUCUUUGGACGUCUAUUUCACAUUCUUUAGUCUGAGGAUCUUGCCAAGACAAUGAUGGUCGAUGCCAUUCUGUUUCUCUUACCAGCUUAUUAUUUUCUCCCCCUAAUGUUGGAUAGUCGGAUCCAUUAAACUUUGUAAUCCGUGUUCUUGGCCACUAAAUAGAUCACCCAUAUUUGGCUCAAGGUACUUCAUUAUUUGUGGGAGAUUCAUAUCCAACAUAUAUCCCCAUCU
rnacentral:lncRNA from 1 species